rnacentral:ncRNA from 1 species
CGGAGAUCUGAUAUCUCGCCACUGGUGGUGGGAAUUCACGGGGAAACUCACCAGGUCCAGACACAAUAAGGAUUGACAGAUUGAGAGCUCUUUCUUGAUUUUGUGGGUGGUGGUGCAUGGCCGUUCUUAGUUGGUGGAGUGAUUUGUCUGCUUAAUUGCGAUAACGAACGAGACCUUAACCUACUAAAUAGUGGUGCUAGCAUUUGCUGGUUAUCCACUUCUUAGAGGGACUAUCGGUUUCAAGCCGAUGGAAGUUUGAGGCAAUAACAGGUCUGUGAUGCCCUUAGACGUUCUGGGCCGCACGCGCGCUACACUGACGGAGCCAGCGAGUCUAACCUUGGCCGAGAGGUCUUGGUAAUCUUGUGAAACUCCGUCGUGCUGGGGAUAGAGCAUUGUAAUUAUUGCUCUUCAACGAGGAAUUCCUAGUAAGCGCAAGUCAUCAGCUUGCGUUGAUUACGUCCCUGCCCUUUGUACACACCGCCCGUCGCUAGUACCGAUUGAAUGGCUUAGUGAGGCCUCAGGAUCUGCUUAGAGAAGGGGGCAACUCCAUCUCAGAGCGGAGAAUUUGGACAAACUUGGUCAUUUAGAGGAACUAAAAGUCGUAACAAGGUUUCCGUAGGUGAACCUGCGGAAGGAUCAUUA